AGGAUGAACGCUGGCGGCGUGCCUAAAACAUGCAAGUCAUACGGGCUACCUUCGGGUAGCCAGUGGCAAACGGGUGAGUAACACGUGGGAACGCGCCUUGGGUGGGGAAUAACGCUGAGAAAUCAGUGCUAAUACCGCAUACGGUCUAACGACUAAAGCAGCAAUGCGCCCCGAGAGCGGCCCGCGACCGAUUAGCUAGUUGGUGGGGUAAUGGCCUACCAAGGCGGUGAUCGGUAGCUGGUCUGAGAGGAUGGUCAGCCACACUGGGACUGCGAACGGCCCAGACUCCUACGGGAGGCAGCAGUUAGGAAUUUUCGGCAAUGGACGAAAGUCUGACCGAGCGACGCCGCGUGGAGGAUGACGCCUUUCGGGGUGUAAACUCCUUUCUGCGGGAAGAUAAUGACGUACGCAGGAAUAAGCACCGGCUAACUACGCGCCAGCAGCCGC
rnacentral:rRNA from 1 species